rnacentral:RNase_P_RNA from 1 species
CGAGUCAGCUAGAUAAUCGCUCAAUUAUUUGAGAGGAAAGUCCGGGCUCCUUUGGACAAGACGCCAGGUAACUCCUGGGAGAUGCAAAUCUACGGAUAGUGCCGCAGAAAAUAAACCGCCUUUUUGAAGGUAAGGGUGAAAAGGUGUGGUAAGAGCACACCGCAUAUUAGGUAACUGAUUAUGGCAAGGUAAACCCCGUCUGGAGCAAGACCAAAUAGAGGCCCUUAUGUUAGUCCUGACUGGGCCAGGGUAGGUUGCUUGAAUUUUGCGGUGACGCAAAAUCUAGAUGAAUGAUUAUCCUCGACAGAACCCGGCUUAUAGGCUGACUCAUGCC